GACGAACGCUGGCGGCGUGCUUAACACAUGCAAGUCGAACGGAGUGGCGAACGGGUGAGUAACACGUGGGUGAUCUGCCUUGCACUUCGGGAUAAGCUUGGGAAACUGGGUCUAAUACCGGAUAGUGCAAGAUGAGCUCGCGGCCUAUCGGCUUGUUGGUGGGGUAAUGGCCUACCAAGGCGCCGACGGGUCGCCGGCCUGAGAGGGUGUACGGGCACAUUGGGAAUGGGAAACGGCCCAGACUCCUACGGGAGGCAGCGGUGGAGAAUAUUGCACAAUAGGCGGAAGCCGGAUGCAGCGACGCCGGGUUGGGGAUGAAGGCCUUUGGGUUGUAAACUCGUUUGGACAGGGACGCGGUACCUGUAUAAGAAGCACCGGCUAACUACGUGCCAGCAGCCGCGGUAAUAC
rnacentral:rRNA from 1 species